GACGAACGCUGGCGGCGGGCUUAACACAUGCAAGUCGAACGGAAUGGCGAACGGGCGAGUAACACGUGGGGACCUACCCUGCACUUCGGGAUAAGCAUGGGAAGCUGGGGCAAAUACCGGCUAGUGUGGGAUGGGCCGGCGGCCGAUCGGCUUGUUGGUGGGGUAAGGGCAUACCAAGGCGGCGACCGGUAGCCGGCCUGAGAGGAUGAUCAGUCACACUGGAACUGAGACACGGUCCAGACUCCUACGGGAGGCAGCAGUGGGGAAUAUUGGACAAUGGGCGAAAGCCUGAUCCAGCCAUGCCGCGUGUGUGAAGAAGGUCUUCGGAUUGUAAAGCACUUUAAGUUGGGAGGCGUUACCAACAGAAGAAGCACCGGCUAACUUCGUGCCAGCCGCCGCGGUAAUUC
rnacentral:rRNA from 1 species